GCCCGGUUAGCUUAGUUGGAAGAGCGUGAGACUUUUAGAUUAUCUGUAUAGAAGUCUGCUAUCUCAAGGUCGCGGGUUCGAGCCCCGCAUUGGGCG
rfam:Aspergillus oryzae strain BCC7051 OAory_C02, whole genome shotgun sequence.